rnacentral:rRNA from 1 species
CCACCGGAAACCGAAUCAAAAACCAGCAGCGGCCGCAGCAGGGAGGAGCGAGCCUCGUAUCGGGCCGCCCCGUACGCGCGUUCCACGUGGUCGCUACUCCCUCCGCCCCUCACUCCCCUCCGACGAAAACACCUGCGGGCUGCGGCCCUGCCCGCCCCGGCCAGAUUGCGCCCGACGGAUAGAGGUAGCUAUUAAAUCCGGGAGAUCGGAUUGGAAGCAAAAUCGAAUCCCCGAAUCUGGGUUGCUCGCCCUGAUCGGCCGUGGGUUCGCGCGGCGUCGUCGGCGGCGGCGGCCAUGGGGGCGAUUGGUUGCCGUCGGGCCGGGGGGCCCGUGGGCUGGCAGUACGUCUUCGAGGAUGAGGAGGACGAGCGCGAGGACGAGGACGCGCCGCUCGUGGAGGAGGAGGGGGCGGACGAGGACUGGGGGGUCGAGAUGGAGAGGAGGGGGACGAAGAGGAAGGGGCCGCGCUCGUCGCGGCCGCGCAAGACGCGGCGCGUCGCCACGCUCUGCGUCUCGCCGGCGUCGUCCGACUCCGGGUCCCCGUCGUCGAGCGCCGUGCCCAAGCGGCGGCGCGUCGCCACGCUCCGCCGCGUCUCGCCGGCGUCGUCCGACUCCGGGUCCCCGUCGUCGAGCGCCGUGCCCAAGCGGCGGCGCGUCGCCACGCUCCGCGCCUCGCCGGCGUCGUCCGACUCCGGGUCCCCGUCGUGGAGCGCCGUGCCCAAGAGGCGGCGCAGCGGAAACGGGGCCAAGAGGGGCCGCCCCGUCGCCGUGCCCGCGGAAACGGCUGCGCCCGCAGCAGAGGAGGCGACGCCGAGCACCAGCGCCGCGGGCCGCACCAAGGGGAGGAGGUCGUGCCACCAAUGCAAGGGGGCGAUGAAGCAGCAGAUGACCAAGUGUAAGCGAUGCCGCGAGAAGAUCUACUGCGGCCACUGCAUCGAGGAUAUGUACCCGGCGUUGUCGUUGGCCGAGGUUAGAGCCGGGUGCCCGUCCUGCCGUGGAAUCUGCAAUUGUAAACGGUGCACUGCCAAGGAGCAGGGUGAACCCAAGAGUUCAGUUUCGAGGAAACGCAACGGCAGUAGAUCAGUAACGAAGAGAAAGAAGGCUAACACCUCAGGUGUAAAGUCAACCAGGGCUCGUAAUGAGGUGGCACAGACUGAAGCAAAUGACAACUCCUUCCUAAGAUCCAAUGAGAUUAAUAGCACAUCUGUCAUAUUAGACAAGGUAGAUACGUUGGAUGCAAGACCUGAUGAGAUUGCUCGGGAAACUAAAGUAAAACAUGCUAGAUAUCUGUUGCACUAUCUGGUGCCUUGUUUGAGUGACCUGAACAGGGAUCAGAUGGUUGAGAGAAAAAUAGAGGCCGAAAUUCAAGGAUUGGAAUUGUCUGAACUGAGUGUUGAACAGGCUGACUGCUGGAAUGAUGAGAGGAUGUUCUGUGACAAUUGCAGAACUUCGAUCUUUGAUCUGCAUAGAAGCUGUCCAAACUGCUCAUAUGAAUUAUGCAUUGCGUGCUGUAAGGAGCUUCGUGAAAAUAAUCUAGAGGGCUCUUGUCGGGAAGAGCUGGUGUCUUAUCCUAAUAGAGGAAUUGACUAUAUGCAUGGUGGUGAUCCAUCGCCUGAGUUGAUGAACUGCGUGCAAACAAACUUGUCCAGUUGCCAGCCUAAGACUACCAAGUGGUGUGCUAAUACUGAUCGGACUAUUAAUUGCCCCCCACCUGAACUUGGUGGUUGUGGUGAUCAUGCCCUUAAGUUGAGACAGAUGUUUCCAAAAGAUUGGUUAAAUAAGCUCGAAAGGGAUGCUCUACAGUUGAGUAAGCAGCUAGAACCUUCUGAUAUUGUCAGCGGAUAUACACAUGAAUGCCCAUGCUGUACUAAACAUGAAAAUGCAAGGCAUGCUGCUACCAGAGAUAAUUCAACAGAUAACUGCCUAUACUGUCCAAAAUCAGAUAAUGAGAAAGGAGACGAUCUAACUCACUUCCAGAGUCACUGGGUUAAAGGAGAACCUGUUAUUGUACAAGGGGUACUACAGAAAAUGCCACAUUUGAGCUGGGAGCCACCACAUAUGUGGUCUGAAGUACAUGGUGCUAGUACUACCCCUGAUAUGAAAAAUGUGAAGUGUAUUGAUUGUUUAUCUUGUUGUGAGGUCGAGAUACGCACACAGGAUUUCUUCAAUGGAUACUAUUAUGGUCGGGUGUAUCAAAAUGAAUGGCCCGAAAUGCUUAAAUUGAAGGACUGGCCUACUUCAAAUCAUUUUGAAGAGCUUUUACCUUCGCAUGGAGUGGAAUACAUCAAUUCUUUACCCUUUCAACCAUACACAAAUUUGAAAUCUGGCUUGCUAAGUGUCUCCGCAUUGCUUCCUGAUGACAUUCUAAAGAUUGACAUGGGCCCAAAGUCAUACAUAGCUUAUGGCUAUGCGCAGGAACUUGGCAGAGGAGAUUCUGUUACGAAGCUUCAUUGUGAUAUAUCUGAUGCAGUUAACGUUUUGAUGCAUACUGCAAAAGUUGCCCCCUCUGAAGGACAAGAAAAUGCAAUAAAAAACUUGAAAGCAAGACAUGAGGUACAAGAUGAAAAGGACUGUUGUGUGAGUUUUGCAAUUGAUGGAAGUGAUGCAUGUCAUAAAAACUGUCUGGAUUCAAACCAUACAUCCUCUCCUAACUACAGCAAGGACGAUGAUGGAGGUGCUUUAUGGGAUAUUUUCAGGAGGGAGGAUGUUCCAAAACUGGAAACAUACCUUCGUAAACAUUCCAAGGAAUUUCGCCAUAUAUAUUGUUCUCCAGUUGAAAAGACAUUUAACCCUCUACAUGAUGAAACAUUCUAUCUAACCGAGGAACAUAAAAGGAGACUUAAAGAGGAGCAUGGAAUCGAGCCUUGGACAUUUGUACAAAAACUUGGAGAGGCGGUUUUUAUACCUGCUGGGUGCCCUCAUCAAGUGCGGAAUCUCAAGUCUUGCACGAAAAUUGCUAUAGAUUUUGUAUCACCAGAGAAUGUCCAGGAGUGUGUCAAGCUAACUCAGCAAUUCCGCGUGCUUCCUAAGAACCACAGAGCAAAAGAAGAUAAAUUAGAGGUGAAGAAGAUGAUAAUAUAUGCCGUUGAUCAUGCCGUGGAGAUUCUGAAGGAGCAUUGGCACUCUUCCCCGUUGGCUUGCUGAUAUUGUCAGGGAUUUCUGCGGUAGGACAAAUUGAUGACAACGGUGUUGAGUAAAAUGUAUAGUGUUGCCAAUAGUUCUCUGGCACAAUAACUGAGGAAAGGUAGACUAUGCAAAAGAUCGAUGUACUCUGUAGAAAAUAGUUGAGCUCAGUGAAGAAAUAAAGUAUUAUUUUGUUGUUGUGAAUUAUAUUACACAUGCACAUUGCAAUCACCAGGGAUAGGAGC